GAAAAGUCGGGGAAUCCCCAGCGCCCUGAGCACGUGGGCGGGCAGGCCCUCGGAUGGAACCUAAGGGGCGAGCGAGUGAAAAAAAAGAGAAGACAUAGCUUAAAGGAAAGGUGGACAAGUGGGAGAAAGACAUCUACUGAAGAUCUGAGCCAUCGGACUGAAAGCACAAAGAUCCAUGUGAUCUGGAGACGUGUUUCUGUCUUCAGCACACGGCGAGAUUCCUUGAAGAGCAAUAGCCCAGAAGUGGCUGGGCCCAGUCAUCUGAACAGCGAUCAAGAACCUCAUCCCAAUAUCUCUGAGUAAUUUGGGGGAACUCACUGAGGAGAGAGAGAAUGUGGACAGAGAAUACAGAGCAGGCUAUGGCAGCAUUGCUGCAAAAUACAGGCAGUCUUACAGCUAAGGGGAAUAAACUUUAACUAUCA